ACUUUUAAUGGACAUUAGCAGUCCAAUGG
rnacentral:tRNA from 1 species